rnacentral:rRNA from 1 species
GUGGUGGGGUGACUGCGUACCUUUUGUAUAAUGGGUCAGCGACUUAUAUUCUGUAGCAAGGUUAACCGAAUAGGGGAGCCGGAGGGAAACCGAGUCUUAAUUGGGCGUUAAGUUGCAGGGUAUAGACCCGAAACCCGGUGAUCUAGCCAUGGGCAGGUUGAAGGUUGGGUAACACUAACUGGAGGACCGAACCGACUAAUGUUGAAAAAUUAGCGGAUGACCUGUGGCUGGGGGUGAAAGGCCAAUCAAACCGGGAGAUAGCUGGUUCUCCCCGAAAGCUAUUUAGGUAGCGCCUCGUGAAUUCAUCUCCGGGGGUAGAGCACUGUUUCGGCUAGGGGGCCAUCCCGGCUUACCAACCCGAUGCAAACUGCGAAUACCGGAGAAUGUUAUCACGGGAGACACACGGCGGGUGCUAACGUCCGUCGUGAAGAGGGAAACAACCCAGACCGCCAGCUAAGGUCCCAAAGUCAUGGUUAAGUGGGAAACGAUGUGGGAAGGCCCAGACAGCCAGGAUGUUGGCUUAGAAGCAGCCAUCAUUUAAAGAAAGCGUAAUAGCUCACUGGUCGAGUCGGCCUGCGCGGAAGAUGUAACGGGGCUAAACCAUGCACCGAAGCUGCGGCAGCGACGUUUAUGCGUUGUUGGGUAGGGGAGCGUUCUGUAAGCCUGCGAAGGUGGCCUGUGAGGGUUGCUGGAGGUAUCAGAAGUGCGAAUGCUGACAUAAGUAACGAU